rnacentral:misc_RNA from 1 species
ACUCUUCAACUGCACUUUUCCUAGUGAAUUGUGCAUGCUUGGAUUUUGAGCGUUGCAGUCUACUGCUCGCUCGUAAUAAAUUAGCAUAUCUAAUUCGAACUCGGAUUGACUUGAUGUAAUAGACUAUUCAUCGAGGACGAGAUUGAGUGAUAGCUUCUAAUCACUUUAGUCAACCC